rnacentral:rRNA from 1 species
AUUGAACGCUGGCGGCAUGCCUUACACAUGCAAGUCGAACGGCAGCACGGGUGCUUGCACCUGGUGGCGAGUGGCGAACGGGUGAGUAAUACAUCGGAACGUACCUUAUCGUGGGGGAUAACGCAGCGAAAGCUGUGCUAAUACCGCAUACGCCCUGAGGGGGAAAGCGGGGGAUCGCAAGACCUCGCGCGAUUAGAGCGGCCGAUGCCUGAUUAGCUUUUGGGGGGGGUAAAAGCCCACCAAGGCGACGAUCAGGAGCUGGUCUGAGAGGACGAUCAGCCACACUGGGAGUGGGACACGGACCAGACUCCUACGGGAGGCAGCAGUGGGGAAUUUUGGACAAUGGGGGCAACCCUGAUCCAGCAAUGCCGCGUGAGUGAAGAAGGCCUUCGGGUUGUAAAGCUCUUUUGUCAGGGAAGAAACACCGGCUCUAACACAGUCCGGGAAUGACGGUACCUGAAGAAUAAGCACCGGCUAACUACGUGCCAGCCGCCGCCGUAA